rnacentral:rRNA from 1 species
GACGAACGCUGGCGGCGUGCCUAACACAUGCAAGCCGAGCGAGGAAAUUCCUUCGGGAGUUUCCUAGCGGCGGACGGGUGAGUGACACGUGGGCAACCUGCCUCGAAGAGGGGGAUAGCCUCCCGAAAGGGAGAUUAAUACCGCAUAAUAUCAGUUUAUCGCAUGAUUAACUGAUUAAAGGAGAAAUCCGCUUCGAGAUGGGCCCGCGGCGCAUUAGCUAGUUGGUGAGGUAACGGCUCACCAAGGCGACAAUGCGUAGCCGACCUGAGAGGGUGAUCGGCCACAUUGGGACUGAGACACGGCCCAAACUCCUACGGGAGGCAGCAGUGGGGAAUAUUGCACAAUGGGGGAAACCCUGAUGCAGCAACGCCGCGUGAGUGAUGAAGGCCCUCGGGUUGUAAAGCUCUGUCUUCAGGGACGAUAAUGACGGUACCUGAGGAGGAAGCCACGGCUAACUAGGUGCCAGCCGCCGCGGUAAAAC